AUUGAACGCUGGCGGCAUGCCUUACACAUGCAAGUCGAACGGUAACGGGCCUUCGGGUGCCGACGAGUGGCGAACGGGUGAGUAAUGUAUCGGAACGUACCUUUCAGUGGGGGAUAACGUAGCGAAAGUUACGCUAAUACCGCAUAUUCUGUGAGCAGGAAAGCAGGGGAUCGCAAGACCUUGCGCUGAUUGAGCGGCCGAUAUCAGAUUAGCCAGUUGGUGAGGUAAAGGCUCACCAAGGCGACGAUCUGUAGCGGGUCUGAGAGGAUGAUCCGCCACACUGGAACUGAGACACGGUCCAGACUCCUACGGGAGGCAGCAGUGGGGAAUUUUGGACAAUGGGGGCAACCCUGAUCCAGCCAUGUCGCGUGAGUGAAGAAGGCCUUCGGGUUGUAAAGCUCUUUCGGCCGGGAAGAAAUCGCAUGGGUUAAUACCCUGUGCGGAUGACGGUACCGGCAUAAGAAGCACCGGCUAACUACGUGCCAGCAGCCGCGGUAACAC
rnacentral:rRNA from 1 species